GACGUAGGGCGCGAGCGUUGUCCGGAUUUAUUGGGCGUAAAGAGCUCGUAGGCGGUGUGUCGCGUCGGCCGUGAAAACCUGGGGCUCAACUCUGGGCGUGCGGUCGAUACGGGCAUCACUAGAGUUCGGCAGGGGAGACUGGAAUUCCUGGUGUAGCGGUGAAAUGCGUAGAUAUCGGGAAGAACACCAAUGGCGAAAGCGCUCUGCUGGGCCGAAACUGACACUGAGAGACGAAAGCUAGGGGAGCGAAUGGG
rnacentral:rRNA from 1 species